rnacentral:rRNA from 1 species
CCUGCCCCGUGAUCACAUGUUUAACGGCCGCGGUAUUUUAACCGUGCAAAGGUAGCGCAAUCAAUUGUUUCUUAAAUAGAGACCUGUAUGAAUGGCACAACGAGGGUUUAACUGUCUCUUUCUUCCGGUCAAUGAAACUGAUCUGCCCGUGCAGAAGCGGGCAUGUUUUCACAAGACGAGAAGACCCUAUGGAGCUUUAGACGUUUGCCAAUUAUAAAAGGUGGUUAGGGACCCUAACCCCCAGACGAAAUAACCCUGGUUAAAGCGUCUUAGGUUGGGGCGACCGUGAAGGAGAACAAAGCCUUCAAGAGGAAAGGGUUCAACCCUGAAACCAAGAGCCACAGCUCUAAGUCUCAAAACAUUUGACCGAAAAUGAUCCGGCUUUCCGCCGAUCAACGAACCAAGUUACCCUAGGGAUAACAGCGCAAUCCUCUCCCAGAGUCCAUAUCGACGAGGGGGUUUACGACCUCGAUGUUGGAUCAGGACAUCCUAAUGGCGCAGCCGCU